CUUGAAACGCCACUUGCCACUUGAAAUGACUUCAGUUUUGCGUGUUGUCUGUGAUCUCCUUUUUUCUGCACAACUAAACAACAGAAUGAACAUCAUCUGUGAGACUGGAAUGAAGCUCCACGGCAGACAUGCUGCUGCUGAGUGAGCAGCGAGUUGGGAGGAGCGGAUGCAUCACAACCAGAAGGGCGUCAUCAGAGCGGCGGCUGUCACAAGUGAUCGGUUGUUGUGAUCGGCAUUCACCGAUCACACUGAAAUCGGCCGAUCAUGAUUGGUGACCGAUCGAUCGGAACAUCCCUACUCCCAGUCCACCUCUCCAUCUCCCCCUCAACACAGUCACAGCCAUCUUCAACUGGCAGGUGAAACCCAGCACCCAUCAUAAAACAUUCCAAACACAAGCUCCAUGGUAUUGGCAGGUCUGCACUACAGCUGGUGGGUAUCUCUGCUGCUCCUCUGCUCACACCUCAGUCAUCUGAGGUAACCCAUGUUGUCGUGAGAACGUUUGAAAAUGACAUGGUCCAGAGUUACACCUGACAGCAGAAGUAAGCCCGGAACAAGGACACAGUGCAAAGUGACCAGACCCCUUGGGUGGUCCAGUAGUCACCCCAGGCCUAGUCUGUGUUCCAAGGUUGUCCAUCUUGAUGCCUGUGGAUAAGCACCGGAUAGGUGGAAGAACUUGUAGAGCAAACUGAUCCACGGCCAUCCGGGCCUGUUAUGCUAGCUACAGCAGCGUCUAAGUUAUCUUCCUUCCUUGAGAGAGCCUUAUGGUGCAGCAAGGAGGAGAUGGAUGGCUGGGACUGAAUGAAGAUGGAGUCGUAAACCUGUCGUAACCACCACUGGUUGUAUUAAUGUUCAGAGAGCCAGGCUGAGUCAGACCAGACCGACAAGGUUGAGCAGUGACGCAUCAUGCAGCACCGCGCCUAGAAAAUGCAGUGGUGAUGGAU